AUUGAACGCUGGCGGCAGGCCUAACACAUGCAAGUCGAACGAAUGGCGGACGGGUGGGCAGGGUCUGAGCAACUGCCUGAUGGAGGGGGAUAACUGCUGGAAACGGUAGAUAAUGCCGCUUACCAUGCGUUGGGCCCAUAUGGGAUUAGCUAGUAGGGGGGGUAAAGGCUCACCUAGGCGACGAUACAUAGCUGGCCUGAGAGGAUGACCGGCCACACUGGAACUGAGACACGGCCCAGACUCCUACGGGAGGCAGCAGUGGGGAAUAUUGCACAAUGGGCGCAAGCCUGAUGGAGCCAUGCCGCGUGUAUGAAGAAGGCUUUCGGGUCGUAAAGCACUGUCAGCGGGGAGGCGUUACCCGAAGAGGAAGCAACGGCUAACUACGUGCCAGCAGCCGCGGUAAUAC
rnacentral:rRNA from 1 species